rnacentral:rRNA from 1 species
GAUGAACGCUGGCGGCGUGCCUAAUACAUGCAAGUCGAGCGAACGGACGAGAAGCUUGCUUCUCUGAUGUUAGCGGCGGACGGGUGAGUAACACGUGGAUAACCUACCUAUAAGACUGGGAUAACUUCGGGUAACCGGAGCUAAUACCGGAUGAUAUUUUGAACCGCAUGGUUCAAAAGUGAAAGACGGUCUUGCUGUCACUUAUAGAUGGAUCCGCGCUGCAUUAGCUAGUUGGUAAGGUAACGGCUUACCAAGGCAACGAUGCAUAGCCGACCUGAGAGGGUGAUCGGCCACACUGGAACUGAGACACGGUACAGACUCCUACGGGAGGCAGCAGUAGGGAAUCUUCCGCAAUGGGCGAAAGCCUGACGGAGCAACGCCGCGUGAGUGAUGAAGGUCUUCGGAUCGUAAAACUCUGUUAUUAGGGAAGAACAUAUGUGUAAGUAACUGUGCACAUCUUGACGGUACCUAAUCAGAAAGCCACGGCUAACUACGUG